CACACCGCCCGUCACACCAUGGGAGUUUGUUGCACCAGAAGCAGGUAGCUUAACCGCAAGGGGGGCGCUUGCCACGGUGUGGCCGAUGACUGGGGUGAAGUCGUAACAAGGUAACC
rnacentral:rRNA from 1 species